rnacentral:rRNA from 1 species
UAAGGAUCUCCGUAGGUGACCUGCGGAGGGACAUUACACAAAUAUGAAGGCGGGCUGGAACCUCUCGGGGUUACAGCCUUGCUGAAUUAUUCACCCUUGUCUUUUGCGUACUUCUUGUUUCCUUGGUGGGUUCGCCCACCACUAGGACAAACAUAAACCUUUUGUAAUUGCAAUCAGCGUCAGUAACAAAUUAAUAAUUACAACUUUCAACAACGGAUCUCUUGGUUCUGGCAUCGAUGAAGAACGCAGCGAAAUGCGAUAAGUAGUGUGAAUUGCAGAAUUCAGUGAAUCAUCGAAUCUUUGAACGCACAUUGCGCCCUUUGGUAUUCCAAAGGGCAUGCCUGUUCGAGCGUCAUUUGUACCCUCAAGCUUUGCUUGGUGUUGGGCGUCUUGUCUCUAGCUUUGCUGGAGACUCGCCUUAAAGUAAUUGGCAGCCGGCCUACUGGUUUCGGAGCGCAGCACAAGUCGCACUCUCUAUCAGCAAAGGUCUAGCAUCCAUUAAGCCUUUUUUUCAACUUUUGACCUCGGAUCAGGUAGGGAUACCCGCUGAACUUAA